rnacentral:rRNA from 1 species
UACGUAGGCAGCAAGCGUUGUUCGGAGUUACUGGGCGUAAAGGGUGCGUAGGCGGUUUGCUAAGUUUGGUGUGAAAUCUCCCGGCUCAACUGGGAGGGUGCGCCGAAGACUGGCAAGCUCGAGUGGGGGAGAGGAGAGUGGAAUUCCUGGUGUAGCGGUGAAAUGCGUAGAUAUCAGGAGGAACACCGGUGGUGUAGACGGCUCUCUGGACCCUAACUGACGCUGAGGCACGAAAGCGUGGGUAGCAAACAGG